CUAAAGAGAAAAGAGAAAGAGAUGUAGGCAGGACCCAGAAUAUCUAGAAACCAAAGAAACAGUUCCACGGUCAGGAGGCAAACAGCCUGGACCCCUCCCAUCUGAAUGGAAACAUCUUUGAACCAUGAUGCUAAUCCAGAGUCCACAGUGAGAUCUCAAGCAAACUACCCGAGGCUUGGCUUUCCUAAUCAGCUGACCACGCUCAUCUCUGCACUGGACUCAAGUAGAGAGGAGUGAGAGGCUCCUGGGAAAUCGUGAGGAGAUGUGAGAAUUCUCCCUGAAGCUGGUAGACUUUGGAAAGAAACAGAGCAGUGCUGAUGUGAGAAGGAGAUGGAUGACAGUUGGAGAGAGCUUUCUAAAGAUGGCAGGUCACAAACAGCUUCCCUCAGAACAGAACCGGGACUCUGGCUGGUCUUAAGGAGCCUUGGGCAAAAUUCAAUAUGGCUGUCCUAAGCCCAAUAAGCCAAGUCCUUGGGAGAAUUGGAAUGAUGCUAUUUGAGGUGACAAGGCAGCCUUAUCUCUUAUAAUGCAACCAUGUAUUUGAUAAUUGUCCAGACUUGAUCUGGUAGACUGUGUUGUUUUCUGCUGAGAUAGCAUACAGUACAAAAUGAAGAAAUCUCCCGGGGUAGACCUUUCAAAACCCUCUUUUAGAUUUAUUUCCAUUAUGAGUUUAACUGCUUUGCAUGUGUGUG
rnacentral:lncRNA from 1 species